GACAGAGGUCCCGAGCGUUAGGCGGAAUCACUGGGCUUAAAGCGUGUGUAGGCGGAUGCCUAAGUACCUUGUGAAAUCCCACGGCUUAACCGUGGAACUGCUUGGUAUACUGGGUGUCUUGAGCCACUUAGGGGCUACCGGAACAAAUGGUGGAGCGGUGAAAUGCGUAGAUAUCAUUUGGAACGCCAAUGGUGAAAACAGGUAGCUGGGAGUGUGCUGACGCUGAGACACGAAAGCCAGGGGAGCAAACGGG
rnacentral:rRNA from 1 species